rnacentral:rRNA from 1 species
AGCGAACGCUGGCGGCAGGCCUAACACAUGCAAGUCGAACGAACUCUUCGGAGUUAGUGGCGGACGGGUGAGUAACACGUGGGAACGUGCCUUUAGGUUCGGAAUAACUCAGGGAAACUUGUGCUAAUACCGAAUGUGCCCUUCGGGGGAAAGAUUUAUCGCCUUUAGAGCGGCCCGCGUCUGAUUAGCUAGUUGGUGAGGUAAAGGCUCACCAAGGCGAUGAUCAGUAGCUGGUCUGAGAGGAUGAUCAGCCACAUUGGGACUGAGACACGGCCCAAACUCCUACGGGAGGCAGCAGUGGGGAAUCUUGCGCAAUGGGCGAAAGCCUGACGCAGCCAUGCCGCGUGAAUGAUGAAGGUCUUAGGAUUGUAAAAUUCUUUCACCGGGGACGAUAAUGACGGUACCCGGAGAAGAAGCCCCGGCUAACUUCGUG